rnacentral:lncRNA from 1 species
GUUGUAUAAGUGAAGGUAUCUUCCAUCCUAUCAUAAUUUCUGCUAUAAAAUGCUCACAGAGUAACUGACAUGUCUAACACAAAAUUAGCAGUCGUUCACUAUCAAAAGCACCAAGACCUAAAAACCCAUAAAAUUUAUGCCGUUUCCAUUAUUUAAAAUGUGAGAACAUGUAACCAAAUGUGAGAACAUGUAAUCAAAUCCACAUAGAUUAGAGGGCUGAUUUUCAGACGCCGUUUUUAGCCUCUCGCAUGCCCCUCUUUAUUUCUGGUUAUCGGAUUGAAUAAAUCAAACGUAAACAAUAAAAAGGAUUAAGCAGGGGCGCGUAGGAGGAGAAAAAGGGUGUGUGUUUAUCAUUUCCAUAUCGAUUAAUCAAGUUUUUGUUUAU